UACGUAGGGUGCAAGCGUUGUCCGGAUUUAUUGGGCGUAAAGAGCUCGUAGGUGGUUCGGUAAGUCGGAUGUGAAAUCUCCAGGCUCAACCUGGAGGGGUCAUUCGAUACUGCCGUGACUAGAGGUCGGUAGGGGAGUGUGGAAUUCCUGGUGGAGCGGUGAAAUGCGCAGAUAUCAGGAGGAACACCCGUAGCGAAGGCGGCACUCUGGGCCGAUACUGACACUGAGGAGCGAAAGCGUGGGGAGCGAACAGG
rnacentral:rRNA from 1 species